GGGGAAGGAGCAGAAGGAGAAGGAGACUCCCCAGUGAGCAGAGAGCCUGACGUGGGUCUGGAUCCCAAGAUCCCAGGAUCACGACCUGAGCUGAAAGCAGACGCUUAACCGACUGAGCCAACCAGUGGAAAAUGAGCAGGGCUCAAGUUCCUCCAAAAGCCGAUUCCAAGACGAGGAUUGGAUCAAGUAGUUUAUUUCGGGUGAAGGAGAGAAGACAAGGAAAGAUUUAUUUAUUUGAGAGAGAGAGAGAGAGAGACUGCAAGCAGUGGGAGGGGCAGAAGGAGAGAGGAGAAUCCCAAGAAGACUCUAUGCUGAGUACAGAGCCUGAUGCAGGGCUCAACCCCACAACCCCAAGACCACCACCACAGCCAAAAUCAAGAGUCGGAAGCUCAGCUGACUGAGUCAUCCAAAUGUCCCUGAGGGUCUAUGUUUUGAGAGGUAACUUGACAGUGAUUCCAAUUGUUCAAAACUCUUCCAGUUUCUAGAUAGCCCUUGGCAAACAUACUUUCCAUUCCUUGGGUGUUUGUGUUUGUUUGUUACCUCAGGAUACUGUAAUAAAUACCACA